GUUCAGCUUAGUAACUUCAUCAUAUUCUUAGCACAACAACCGGUAUAUAAUGAUAAGUUUAUAUAGCAUUAACAUUAACUAUAUUUUUACAAAUAAAACCACAAUGUACUGAAAACCAGGCUGAAGUCGGACACUUCUUCUCCAGCUUCUUAUUCGCGGGAUCCGCGUUGCCUUGAAGAGAGGAUGCUGUUUCGACAGAUUCCUGUAGAGGGCACUGUGUGCGCUAAAUCGAAAGCGCCAAGAAGGUAUUCAGCAUUUCGUUUUAGUAAGAAAUUUGUAAUAAUUCAGUGUUUUUGGUCACACGGCCAUUGGCUCUGAAAUUAAACUUUUCUUUUAAAUAAAAUUCAUUAAAUUCGGAAUCUGAUUUGUGUGCUUUCUUCGAUUUCUCAGAAAUAAGAAACUGUCGAAUAAGUAACCAAGUUCAGCCUGAUGUGAUUAAACUAGUACAAACUUCCCAUUCAACAGCGGCGGGAUAAUACUUGUCACACCUAUUCGACAUGCCGACUUCUUUGGCUUUUCUACUAAACUGCUUGCACAAUAAUAUAGUUGGAGCAGUCCCAGAUGACGCUGUCAGAAGAGCUAUGGUCAUUUCAGACUAAUUAAAACGUGAGCGUUGCCUGGACUUUAUUGCAGAGGGAAAAAUAGCUUGCAUUUUCAUAACCUCGGAACUGAAAGCAAGAAUAUAUUUUUUUUGUUUCGUGACGAGUUUCUUGUUGCACAUUGGCCGAAUAACGUGAAGAAAAGGGCUGACGUGUGAAUGGAGGGGUGCUGAACUUAUUGAACUACUACCCACGAUGGUGCACCCUUCUGGUUCUCAGACAUAGCAUUUUCAAAGUUAUCCUGGGCAAUAUGCACUGGUUUCUUGAUUCCAGUAAAUGUUUGUCUGACGAGCCCUACAAGACCAUGUAAACUUUUCUGCAAAUGACCGAGGGCUGUGCCAUGCCAGAGGAACGAAGGAUAGACCUGUCCACCUGCUCCCUCAGCAACACAUUGGCUUUGCUGGGUUUGAUUACUAUGUGGACAAGAAUAGCUGAAGUCACCCCGCAGUGCAGCGCAGAAAUAAUUGAAGUGGUGGAGGAUUACUUGAUUGCUGUCCGCGGAAUGGACACCUUUGGAUGCAUACUGUACACACCAAGUUUGACAAGCUAUGAGCAGAAAUGUCCCAAUUCCACAUUGACAUGCUUUGCAGAAGAAGUGAAAGUGCUAAUGUUUGAAAUUGAGGAAAAUCAAGCUUUUCAGGACCCAAAGUUUUUCAAAGACUUGCCCAAAAGACUGAUGUCUGUCAACACAGAAAAGGAUAGACAACAAUGUCUACAGUGUGAGGUUCAUGACGAAAAACCAGCAGAGGAGUUUCUUCUCGGAUUAAAAACGGUCCUCGAGAUGAUGAACAGCAGAUGUGGCUAACAGGCCGUCAUUCCGUGUGAGGAAAAGUCAUUUAAUGGAAGCUGAAUAUCGGCCCAUUUAAUUAUCGAAAAUGCAGGCCGGGAAUCGAGAUUUGUACUGGAACCAUUCUCUCUUACAAGGCACCAGUAACCCUUCUCAUGUCAUUAGAGAUAUUACCCAAGCAUCUGGAAGAUGAAUGGAUGGAUAUUAUGCAGAUGAAUAACAAUAACUCCAAGGCACUUUAAAAUAUGGAAUGCAUCCUUCGCAGUAGACGAUGCAUCAUCCUAUGCAUCAUCCUGUGCAUCAUCCUGUGCAUCAUCCUCUGCAUCAUCCUGUGCAUCAUCCUAUGCGCAGACAUGCGCACACAGCUGAAAAUGGUUUGCCAGAACAUAUCGAUUACGCCUCUAUGUGACUGGUUAACCAAAUUACUUAACUUUUGUGGUUAUAAUAAAUGUUUUCCUUUUUUAAACAAUUAAGUAUUUAUAAAAUAUUCAUAAAUUUAUAGUCAUUAUAGUCAUGCCAACAACCACUCUCUGCUCAUGGAUUCUGAACUUUCUCACCAGCAGACCACAAAAUGUCAGGGUGGGAAACCGUGUAUCAUCCACUCUUACACUGAGCACAGGAGUACCACAGGGCUCUGUCCUCAGCCCAGCCCUUUCCACCCUAUUCUCACACGAUUGCACACCCAUCCGCACCUCCAACACCAUAGUGAAAUUUGCAGAUGACACCACGGUAGAGGGACUGAUAACGGGAAACCAAGAGACCCAGUGCAGAGAGGAGGUGACACACUUGGUACAGUGGUGCUCAGACAGCAACCUUCUCUUCAGUACAUCCAAGACAAAGGAGAUUGUUAUGGACUUUAGGAGAACCAGGAAAACGACACCUCCCCCCCCCCCUCCACAUAAGUGGAGAGGAAAUGGAGAGGGUUAGCAACAUCAAAUUCCUGGGGGGCUACAUCUCAAAGGACCUGAAAUCGACUGCUAACACCUCUCAAUUUGUGAAGAAAGCUCAUCAGAGACUUUUCUUCUCAAGAACAUUUAAAAAAACCAGCCUUCCCACUCAGCUCCUUGUUAACUUUUACAGGAGCACAACAGAGAGCAUUCUCUGCUGCGGGGCUACAGUGUGGUGCUCCAGCUGCAUGGCAGGGAACCGGAGAGACUUGGCCCGGAUACUUAAGAUUGCUCAGAGGACCGUGGGCACCAAUCUCCCAGAUCUGAACAAUGUUUAUGCUAGUUGACUAUGUAGGAACCCACCCAGGUUACAAACUGUUUGUCCCCCUACCAUCGGGCGAAAGAUUCAAGACCAUCAAGUCACGAACAAACAGACUGAGGAAGAGCUUUUUCCCGAGAGCAGUGGCUUCCAUCACCCCCCUUAUCUCUACAGAACACUGACCAUUAAGUCACUUUCACACAUCUGUAGUGCUGCUGAUAUGCACUUGGUCACUUUAAAUCACAUUUACGUGAAAAUACCUAUAACCUGUAAAUAGUUUUAGGACGUUUCGGAAACCCUCUAAAUUUUUUGGAUUUUUGUUUAUCAUACGUUGAGCUUUCAAAGUAGCAACUUCCUUUUAAUAUAUGUCAUGCCUUUUGGAAACAGUAGUAUUUCAGCAGUGACAUUAAGUUUAUUGGAUUAACAGAAAAUAUGCAAUAUGCAUCAUAACCAAAUUAAACAGGUGCAUGAAUUUGGGCACCCCAACUGAGAUAUUACAUCAAUAGUUAGUUGAGCCUCCUUUUGCAAAUAUAACAGCCUAUAGCCUUUGAUGAGUGUCUGGAUUCUGGAUUGAGGUAUGUUUGACCAUUCUUCCAUACAAAAUCUCUCCAGUUUAGUUAAAUUUGAUGGCUGCCGAGCAUAGACAGCCUGCUUCAAAUCAUGAUGGUAUUCAAGUCGGGGGACUGUGAUGGCCAUUUCCAGAACAUUGCAUCCCACUGCAUGAAGACUUUGUAAAUUUCGAACUGUGUUUUAGUUCAUUGUCUUGUUGGAAUAUCCAACACCUGUGUAACUUCAACUUUGUGACUGAUGCUUGAACAUUAUCCUGAAGAAUUUAUUGAUAUUGAGUUGAAUUCAUCCAACCCUAGACUUUAACAAGGGCCCCAGUCCCUGAACUAGCCACACAGCCCCACAGAAGGAUGAAACCUCCACCAAAUUUGAGAGUUGGUAGCAGGCAUUUUUCUUGGAAUGCAGUGUUCUUCUUCCGGCAUGCAAAGCGCCUUUUGUUAUGACCAUGUAACUCAAUUUUCAUCUCAUCAGUCCAAAGCAAUUUGUUCCAGAAUGAAUCUCGCUUGUCUUAAGUUUGAGAUUUUUCAUACAAUAAACAGGGACGGAUUAUGGGUUGUGUGAGCCCCUGGGCAAAACGUUCGCGAGGCCCCCCCCCCCCACCACCACCAGCACCACCACCACAACAACCACAAUUCAAGGGCCCUUGGCAGCCAAACGCCCUCCCUAUAGGGUCAGGGGCCCUUGUAGGCAGAGGAUCAAAGAAUGUAGGCCCUCUAAAAUAGACAAACGAAAAUACAUUGUUGAUAAGCAUUGCAAAUUGUUUUGGGCUAGGGGCCCCACAGGUCCCCUGCACCCCAAGGGCCCCUGGGCAGCGGCCCCGCUGGCCCGGUCCAUAAUCCGUCCCUGACAAUAAGUGACUCUGUUUGUGGAGUGAGGACAGAAAGGGCUUCUUUGUCAUCACCCUGCCAUACAGAUGUUCUUUGUGCAAAUUGCGCUGAAUUGUAAAACGAUGUACAGAUACACCAUCUGCAGCAAGGUGUUCUUGCAGGUCUUUGGAGGAGAUCUGUGGGCUGUAACCAUUCUCACAUGCUGCUCCUGUAUUUUCUUCGCCUGCCAGACCAGCAACUGUGCCUCUGGCCUUCCAUUUCCUGAUUACGUUCCUUACAGUUGAACCUGACAGUUUAAACCUCUGAGAUAGCUUUUUGUAGCCUUCCCCUAAACCAUGAUACUGAACAGUCUUUGUUUUCAGAUCUUUUGGGAGUUUCUUUGAGGAUCCCAUGCUGUCACUCUUCAGAGGAGAGUCAAAGAGAAGCACAACUUGCAGUUGGUCACCCUUAAUUCCUUUUCCCCUGAUUGGAUGCAACUGUCUAUGAGGCUUAAGGCUUAAUGAGCUAAUCUAACCAAUUUGGUGUUGCAAGUGAUCAGUACUGAGCAGUUACAUGAAUUCAAAUCAGCAAACUUUCCCAAACUUUUGCACAGCCAGUUUUUCAUGUUUGAUUUCGUACAACUAAAUACUGCUUUACUAAAAAUCUUUGUUCGGAAAACACCUUAGUACUCAGAUGUUCCUAGGAAAUGAAAGACAUACCACUGUUACCUUCUUAGGAGGAAGUAAAGUAAAUUAUUAUGCAGGCUGAGAUUGGUUACCAAACUUUUUCAAAUGACUGUAGCAACAUCAUUCUUCAAGCAUCAUGGUAUAAGCCCUGUACCUCAGUCCUUUAUUGCAAAAGACUGAGGAAGAUUAAUUUAUGACUUAAAAUUAACUUUAUCACAGUUGCCCCAACCAUUGUUUCAUUAUAAUUGUCGCAAUGAAGAAAUGAAAAUAUGUCGCAAUGAAAAUAAAGGGGUAAAAAAACGA